UUAUAAUAAAUAUAAAAAUUAAGAAGAAGUUAAAUGAAAGCAUUAAAUUUAAAUAGUUUGACGGUAUUUUAAAUAGUUAGAGGAAUUUGUUAGUUAAAUGAUGGUCCACGAAUGGAGAGUCCUAGUGAAGUUUUUAUGUAUUGUUGUAUAAAAAUUAUUUUAUAAGAAUUAUAAUUAAAAAAUUUAAUUUAAUUUGAAUUCAAAUCAAAAUGUAGAAUUGCUAGGUUUAAAUGAAUUACAUUUUAAUAUAAUAAUAGAAUUAUUUUUUUAAUAAGGUAAGGAAAUUGGAUUUAAUAGUAAGUUUAAAAAAAUUUUUAGAUUGAAAUAUUAAUUAAAAUAUG
rnacentral:rRNA from 1 species